rnacentral:rRNA from 1 species
GGCGACGCUGGCGGCGUGGCCUAUACAUGGCAAGUCGAGCGAGCUAGGCCUAGAUGAUUUUAGUGGCUUGGCACUAAAUGAAACUAGAUACAAGCGAGCGGCGGACGGGUGAGUAACACGUGGGUAACCUGCCCAAGAGACUGGGAUAACACCUGGAAACAGAUGCUAAUACCGGAUAACAACACUAGACGCAUGUCUAGAGUUUGAAAGAUGGUUCUGCUAUCACUCUUGGAUGGACCUGCGGUGCAUUAGCUAGUUGGUAAGGUAACGGCUUACCAAGGCAAUGAUGCAUAGCCGAGUUGAGAGACUGAUCGGCCACAUUGGGACUGAGACACGGCCCAAACUCCUACGGGAGGCAGCAGUAGGGAAUCUUCCACAAUGGACGAAAGUCUGAUGGAGCAACGCCGCGUGAGUGAAGAAGGGUUUCGGCUCGUAAAGCUCUGUUGGUAGUGAAGAAAGAUAGAGGUAGUAACUGGCCUUUAUUUGACGGUAAUUACUUAGAAAGUCACGGCUAACUACGUGCCAGCAGCCGCGGUAAUACGUAGGUGGCAAGCGUUGUCCGGAUUUAUUGGGCGUAAAGCGAGUGCAGGCGGUUCAAUAAGUCUGAUGUGAAAGCCUUCGGCUCAACCGGAGAAUUGCAUCAGAAACUGUUGAACUUGAGUGCAGAAGAUGAUAGUGGAACUCCAUGUGUAGCGGUGGAAUGCGUAGAUAUAUGGAAGAACACCAGUGGCGAAGCGCGCUCCUCUGGUCUGCAAUGAACCUUGAGGCUUCAGAGC